rnacentral:rRNA from 1 species
GGGGAAGCGAACAGGAUUAGAUACCNUGGUAGUCCNCCNCGGUAAACGAUAAGUACUAGGUGUCGGGGGUUACCCCCCCUCGGGUGCCGCAAGCUUAACGCAUUAAGUACCUCCGCCUGGAAAGUACGCUCGCAAAGAGUGAAACUCAAAGGAAUUGACGGGGACCCGCACAAGCAGCGGAAGCAUGUGGUUUAAUUCGAAGCAACGCGAAGANCCUUACCUAAGCUUGACAUCCCUUAGACCGCUCCUUAAUCGGAGCUUUCCCUUCGGGGACUGAGGGUGACAGGUGGUGCAUGGUUGUCGUCAGCUCGUGUCGUGAGAUGUUGGGUUAAGUCCCGCAACGAGCGCAACCCUUGUCUUUAGUUGCCAUCAUUAAGUUGGGCACUCUAGAGAGACUGCCGAGGAUAACUCGGAGGAAGGUGGGGAUGACGUCAAAUCAUCAUGCCCCUUAUGUUUAGGGCUACACACGUGCUACAAUGGCUGGUACAGAGGGCUGCGAAACCGUGAGGUUAAGCCAAUCCCUUAAAGCCAGUCUCAGUUCGGAUUGUAGGCUGAAACUCGCCUACAUGAAGCUGGAGUUGCUAGUAAUCGCGGAUCAGAAUGCCGCGGUGAAUGCGUUCCCNCCGUCUUGUACACACCGCCCGUCACACCAUGGGAGUCGGGGGCACCCGAAGCCGGCUUUCUAACCUUUUGGAAGAAGCCGUNNAAGGNAAGUCGAUAAAGGG